rnacentral:rRNA from 1 species
AACGAACGCUGGCGGCAGGCUUAACACAUGCAAGUCGAACGGGUGUAGCAAUACAUCAGUGGCAGACGGGUGAGUAACACGUGGGAACCUUCCUAGGGGUACGGAACAACUCAGGGAAACUUGAGCUAAUACCGUAUACGUCCGUGAGGAGAAAGAUUUAUCGCCCUUAGACGGGCCCGCGUCGGAUUAGGUAGUUGGUGGGGUAACGGCCGUACCAAGCCUACGAUCCGUAGCUGAUCUGAGAGGAUGAUCAGCCACACUGGGACUGAGACACGGCCCAGACUCCUACGGGAGGCAGCAGUGGGGAAUCUUGGACAAUGGGCGCAAGCCUGAUCCAGCCAUGCCGCGUGAGUGAAGAAGGCC